rnacentral:tRNA from 1 species
AAUGAAGUGUCUGAAUAAAAGAAUUAUUUUGAUAGAAUAAAACAUGUAAAUAUUAAUUACCUUCAUUA